rnacentral:rRNA from 1 species
UACGUAGGGGGCUAGCGUUGUCCGGAAUCAUUGGGCGUAAAGCGCGCGUAGGCGGCCAGGCAGGUCCGUUGUGAAAACUCGAGGCUCAACCUCGAGACGUCGGCGGAAACCCUCUGGCUAGAGUCCGGAAGAGGAGAGUGGAAUUCCUGGUGUAGCGGUGAAAUGCGCAGAUAUCAGGAAGAACACCCGUGGCGAAGGCGGCUCUCUGGGACGGUACUGACGCUGAGACGCGAAAGCGUGGGGAGCAAAAGGG